CAGACACUGACACAAGUGGGAAGGAGCUGACUGGAUCGCCCCAAAUAUUUAACCAGGACACAGCAGCCGCGCCGGUCAUCCACUGGAGGAGAUGCAGCGGUGGAUGUUAUGGAGCUCAUUGACAAUCGUGGUACUGAUGGGAGCCAUGUGUUAUGGCCAGAGAAGCAAUCGCUGCCUUCUCAAACGAAGUCAAACCUGCUCUGAUUGCAUGAGAGUGGACAAAGACUGCUCCUAUUGUGCUGAUGAGGGCAUUAAUUACCCAAGAUGCGAUCUGCACAUCAAUCUGCAAUCAAAAUGCAAAAACAUUAUGAGGCUUCAGAGCUCAAUGAAAAUC